GCUUGGGUUUUUGCUGACUGAGGGUAAUUCCAGUGUGAUAGUUCCUACAUGACAUUUGAAUUUCCCACAGGGUGUCAAAGAAGGGCGCAUUCAGGCUAUCUUAGCUUGCCAAAAUGUGGGUAGGAGAGGAAGAGGGGAGGGAAUAAGGUUUAAAAGCUGUCAGCAGUCAAACAUCGAAAAUGGAAUCCAACCCUUUAUUAAGUUUUUAUAUUGGAGGAUCUGGGAAAAAAAACCUCUCAAGAGACAUUUUAGCAAAAACUUGAAAGAAUUGGAAUGAUCUAUGAAGGUAUUUGAUAAGCAUCCUUCCUGGCAAAUUCAAAGGCCCAGUGGCAAGAGAGGAGUUGGUAUGUUCAAGAAACAGCAACGAGGCAUUGUGAACAAAACAGGAUCACCUGAAUGUAUGCAGUUAAGAUUCUACUGCAUGCAAAAAAAAAAAAAGCUCUGUAUUAGGUAACUUCUUAUGAAGAAAAUUAUAAAGCUACUGGAAAUUUACAGAAAACUCAAAUAGUUACAUUCAUAUCUAGAAAGAUAACAGUCUCAGAGAAGUAUCAAUACUUAAAUCUAUUAUUCAAUGCUGGUAUAAUCCCACUAGUGUUUUCCAUAGAACCUCAUCAGUUGAUUCUAAAAUAUAUGAGCUAGCAAAGGGCCAAGAUAAGCAAAACUAAUUUUGAAGACAAGAUCAGGGAGGAUUUGAUAUAAAAAUAUCAAAACUUACUAUAAACUCGUAAGGUGUGGUUUUGGUAGUGAUGGACACUCAAACCAAAAAAAAAAAAUCUUUCCAUAUGGAGACAUAAUUUUUUCUUUUUGUCUCACAGAAAUGACACUGAAUUCAAGCCAGGCAUGAUGGUGUAUGCCUGUAAUCCCAAUGGCUCAUGAAACUAGGGCAGAAGGAUCCCAUGUUCAAAGUCAGUCUUGGCAACUUAGUGACGCUCUAAACAACUUAGCGAGGCCCUGUCU
rnacentral:lncRNA from 1 species